UACGUAGGGGGCUAGCGUUGUCCGGAAUCAUUGGGCGUAAAGAGCGCGUAGGCGGCCAGAUAAGUCCGGUGUGAAAGUCACAGGCUCAACCUGUGAAUGCCGCUGGAAACUGUUUGGCUAGAGUCCGGUAGGGGCGAGUGGAAUUCCUGGUGUAGCGGUGAAAUGCGCAGAUAUCAGGAGGAACACCAAUGGCGAAGGCAGCUCGCUGGAACGGUACUGACGCUGAGGCGCGAAAGCGUGGGGAGCAAACAGGAUUAGAAACCCCGGUAGUCC
rnacentral:rRNA from 1 species